UUGGGCAAAAUUUAGAAUGCACCAAAUAUAUUAUAUAAUAUACGUGGCGUUUGUAAUCAAUAAAAUUGUCUCUUUUAGAUUAAUACGUUCUAUCAUAGUUAAUAAAAAACAUUUUUAUUAUAUUUUUUAAAUAAAAAAAUAUUAUUAGUUUAUUAUUAAUUAUGUAGUGUAAAUGUGAUACGGUAAACUUCCUCGUUAGCGCAUGUGGAAAUAAUAAUUUAAGCUUCCAAGAGUACUCAAACAUAAAAAAAAUUUGGGGACUAAAAUCCAAAGAACCCAAAAAAUAAAAUACAAAAACAAAAAGGUAAAUUUAAGACUACUUUAUUACUAGACAAAUGAUAUCCUAUCACUUUAAAAUUUAUUUCUUAUAAAACUGAAAUAGUCUAAAUCAUGUUCAACAGUAUCAAUUGUCGAUUUGAUUUUUUCAUUGCUAUAAAAUAAUGCAAAGUAAGUUUUUUUUUUACUUCUAAAAAUAUUCUAGCUUAAUUCUCUUUUUCUGUAAAGAGGCAAAUUCCGUAAAUUUUUAUAGAAAUUAGUAUGAGGAGGUAGAUGCCCUUUGCCUUCAUUUAAGUUUUUAGGAUAAAUUUCAAUUUGAGUUCUCUGAUUUAGCGCAUUCUUAUCUUGUAAUCCUAUGGUAUCAAAAAUUUAGAUUUAAUUAUCUUAUAAUGUUAUUCAUAUUUGACCGAAAAAUUCGCAAACAGUGAAUGACAAAUAUAUCUUUACAAAGUUCAACUUUUAUAUGUUAUCCCUACAAAAGUCUUGAUGUUUUCAAAUAUAUCAUUGUCGUUAGAUUCCGCUAGAAAAUUUUAGUUAAUCAUAGGUUAAAUACCUAACCUUAGUUAGUUUUUGAUAUUUUUAACCCCUAUUAUAUUAUACUGUUAUAAUUUUUGAAGGAAUAUAUUUAUGAUGACAAAAUUAAAAAUAUAAAUGAUUCUCUAACGGUAACAAACCAAGAGAUAUAUUUGAAAACAUUAGAACUUUUGUAGAGUCAACAUAUGAAAGUUGAAUUUUAUAGGAAUAUAUUUGUCAUUUACUAUAUUUACAUAAAGCUGUAUGAAAUUAAUCCUAAACUUAUUCU
rnacentral:lncRNA from 1 species